rnacentral:rRNA from 1 species
GACGAACGCUGGCGGCGUGCUUAACACAUGCAAGUCGAACGGAAAGGCCCUGCUUGCAGGGUACUCGAGUGGCGAACGGGUGAGUAACACGUGGGUGAUCUGCCCUGCACUUCGGGGUAAGCCUGGGAAACUGGGUCUAAUACCGGAUAGGAGCCACGAUUAGCGUGAGGGUGGGAAAGAUUUUUCGGUGUAGGAUGAGCUCGCGGCCUAUCAGCUGGUUGGUGGGGUAAUGGCCUACUAAGGCGGCGACGGGUAGCCGGCCUGUGAGGGUGGACGGCCACCUUGGGUCUUAGGGACGGCCCAGACGCCGACGGGAGGCAGAAGUGGGGAAUAUUGCACAAUGGGCGCCAGCCUGAUGCAGCGACGCCGCGUGGUGGAUGACGGCCUUCGGGUUGUAGACUCCUUUCGCUAGGGACGAAGCUUUUUGUGACGGUACCUAGAGAAGAAGCACCGGCUAACUUCGUG